GCUUCACUUAGAAGGGUUUGUUCCGAUGCUGCUCACAUUUGAUCCACGCGGAUUUACUUCUGGGGCUGGAUUCUUCCAGAGUCACCCUAAAGAGAAUUAUCAAAAGGGCCUGACAGACAUGAGUGCCUGCUCUUCUUGGAGACUCGGGUUUCUUACAAACAGCUAGGGUCCCAGACCUCUAGAACCAAGGGAAUUAUGGACUCAUUCCCUAGAAAGCCCCCGCCUGGCUUCUGAUUCACUACUACCCAUGUCAGGGCUACUGUGAAGAGUCUCACCAACUGACUGACUUUUCUUGUUUUUGCAGUCCUUUAAAUCCACAAAUGUAUAUGCUUUAUUUUAUAUUAUUUAUUAUGUACAUAUGUCUCUACUGUUAGUAUAUCAUGUGACUAAGACACUGUUUGGAAGCCCCUCAUCCACUGAGCCUAGGGUUCUGUUGUCCCUUAUUGGGUGAGAGGGUGGUGGUAUUUUCUGUUUAAAAGGAAAAAAAAAACCAUAUUGCUGCUCUUACCCCAGCUUCUUUCAUUGCCUUACCCCAGUCCAUUCCUGCUGGCCAGUAUCUGGGAGGUAGAUGGGGCAGAACUUCUCACGUCUCCAUGAGUUACUGCAGACGAGGUGUUUUGGUAACUGGGUCUCUUCGCUAUGGCUGAGACCAGAGCCUCCUUCCUCAUCCACACCCAAGCUAGAUCAAUGGCUUCUACCGCUCACUUGCAUUGCAGGAUCUAUCUGUAGUGGAAGCUGCCCAUCUAGGCUCUGACCAUGCCUCUUCCUGGUAUUAAGGCCCAGUUACCAGCAUUGCCUUGGGCCAAACGUAAGCCCUGCUUUGUCUGAUUUCCACCCUCCUCAGUCGUACCCACGGUAUCAUGGCGUACAUUUCAUGCAUUUGAGCAGUGGCAUCAAGAGAAAGCUAAACACAGGUCAUAUGCACAAGCUGUCAUAACAGACGCGUUUAUAAUCCAAAUGUUGUAGAUUUACAAUACCUAUUUAUUUGUACCAAUUUAUUUGUAAAUCUUGUGAUUGUUUUUAAAAGGUUUUGUUUAUUUCUAUUCUUCUAUUUAGAUAAAUGAUUUUCUGUUCACCC
rnacentral:lncRNA from 1 species